AUUGAACGCUGGCGGCACGCCUAACACAUGCAAGUCGAGCGGCAGCGCGAUUAGUAGCAAUACUAAUUGGCGGCGAGCGGCGGACGGGUGAGGAACACGUAGGAACCUGCCCUUUAGCGGGGGACAACCAAGGGAAACUUUGGCUAAUACCGCGUAAUCUCGAAAGAGGAAAGCUGCCCGCAAGGGUGGCGCUAAAGGAGGAGCCUGCGUCCGAUUAGCUAGUUGGUGAGGUAAAGGCUCACCAAGGCUGUGAUCGGUAACUGGUCUGAGAGGACGACCAGUCACACUGGGACUGAGACACGGCCAGACUCCUACGGGAGGCAGCAGUGGGGAAUAUUGGACAAUGGGGGCAACCCUGAUCCAGCGAUGCCGCGUGGGUGAAGAAGGCCUUCGGGUUGUAAAGCCCUUUAGGUUGGGAAGAAGGAUGGCAGUUUAAGAGACAGUCAUUUUGACGGUACCGACAGAAUAAGCACCGGCAAACUCUGUGCCAGCAGCCGCAGUAA
rnacentral:rRNA from 1 species